rnacentral:rRNA from 1 species
UGGUAGCGAUAGCAUGAUGGACACACCUGUUCCCAUACCGAACACAGAAGUUAAGCAUCAUAACGGCGAAGAUAGUACCAAGGUGCG